GUUUUGAAGAAUUAAUUUUAAAUUGUCCCUGCUCAAUGAAUGAUUUAAAUAGCUGCGGUAAAUUGACUGUACUAAGGUAGCAUAAUAAUUAGUUUAUUGAUUGUGAACUUUGUAUGAAUGGGUUGAUGGGAGAGUAACUGUCUUUAUUAAAUUGGUUUUUGAAUUUGACUUUAGAGUUAAAAGGCUUUAUUAAUUUUAAGGGACGAUAAGUCCCUAUAGAACUUUAUUAGUUAAUUGAUGUUGAAUUUUUUUUUUGAUUUAAUUGGGGUGAUUGGAAUAUAAUUUUAACUUUUUUUUGUAUUAUGCUUUUAUUUUAGGUUGGAUUGAUUUAAUUUUUUUGAUAAGAAAAGUUACCUUAGGGUUAACAGCAUAAUUUUUUUGGAGAGUUCUAAUCGAUAAAAGGGAUUAUGA
rnacentral:rRNA from 1 species